AUUGAACGCUGGCGGCAUGCCUUACACAUGCAAGUCGAACGGCAGCGGGGGAGAAGCUUGCUUUUCCUGCCGGCGAGUGGCGAACGGGUGAGUAAUACAUCGGAACGUGCCCUGUAGUGGGGGAUAACUAGUCGAAAGAUUAGCUAAUACCGCAUACGACCUGAGGGUGAAAGUGGGGGACCGCAAGGCCUCAUGCUAUAGGAUCGGCCGAUGUCUGAUUAGCCAGUUGGUGGGGGAAAGGCCGACCAAGGCGACGAUCAGUAGCUGGUCUGAGAGGACGAUCAGCCACACUGGGACUGAGACACGGCCCAGACUCCUACGGGAGGCAGCAGUGGGGAAUUUUGGACAAUGGGCGAAAGCCUGAUCCAGCAAUGCCGCGUGUGUGAAGAAGGCCUUCGGGUUGUAAAGCACUUUUGUCCGGAAAGAAAUGGCUCUGGUUAAUACCUGGGGUCGAUGACGGUACCGGAAGAAUAAGGACCGGCUAACUACGUGCCAGCCGCCGCAGUAA
rnacentral:rRNA from 1 species